rnacentral:rRNA from 1 species
AUUGAACGCUGGCGGCAUGCUUUACACAUGCAAGUCGAACGGCAGCGCGGGCUUCGGCCUGGCGGCGAGUGGCGAACGGGUGAGUAAUACAUCGGAACGUGCUCAGUAGUGGGGGAUAGCUCGGCGAAAGCCGGAUUAAUACCGCAUACGACCUGAGGGUGAAAGCGGGGGAUCUUCGGACCUCGCGCUCUUGGAGCGGCCGAUGGCAGAUUAGCUAGUUGGUGGGGUAAAGGCCUACCAAGGCGACGAUCUGUAGCUGGUCUGAGAGGACGACCAGCCGCACUGGGACUGGGACACGGCCCAGACUCCUACGGGAGGCAGCAGUGGGGAAUUUUGGACAAUGGGCGAAAGCCUGAUCCAGCAAUGCCGCGUGUGUGAUGAAGGCCUUCGGGUUGUAAAGCACUUUUGGCGGGAACGAAAAGGACUGUGCCAAUACCACGGUUCGAUGACGGUACCCGCAGAAUAAGCACCGGCUAACUACGUG